GAGAGAGACAUGCGCGCAUAUCAAUAAGCGGAGGAAAAGAAACUAACAAGGAUUCCCUUAGUAACGGCGAGUGAAGCGGGAAGAGCUCAAAUUUGAAAUCUUCAAGGUUUUACCUUGACGAAUUGUAGUUUAAAGAAGUGUUUUCUGUUGAAGUUUUGGUAAAAGUUCUUUGGAAUAGGACAUCAUAGAGGGUGAGAAUCCCGUAUUUGACCAUUAUUUUCAGCUGUGUGAUACACUUUCAAAGAGUCGGAUUGUUUGGGAAUGCAGUCCAAAAUGGGUGGUAAAUUUCAUCUAAAGCUAAAUAUUGGCGAGAGACCGAUAGCGAACAAGUACCGUGAGGGAAAGAUGAAAAGAACUUUGAAAAGAGAGUUAAACAGUACGUGAAAUUGUCAAAAGGGAAGCGUUUGACACCAGUGUUGUUUUCUCGAAAAUCAAUUAAAAAAGGCCGGAUUUUGUGUUGUAUUGACCUUAAAAGCUUUCUUCACUCUUUUCUUGUCUUUUUUAAUGCACUUUUCGUUUAACAAGUCAACAUCAGUUUCUUUUGUUGUAAAAGGGUCAUUGGAAGGUGGCUUUCUUUUCGGAGAAAGUGUUUAUAGCCUUUGAUCUCUGCAACCGGAGAGACUGAGGUCUGCAGCGUAGGCUCUUCGGGGUUAGAUACAUUUGUGCUAAGCUAUAGCUUUUUAUAGACAACUUGUUGAUUAUAUUUAGUCUUGUGGCUUACUCGCUUAUGCUAUUUUACCUACGCUUAGGAUGUUGACAGCAGUAUAGACUGU
rnacentral:rRNA from 1 species